rnacentral:rRNA from 1 species
GACGAACGCUGGCGGCGUGCUUAACACAUGCAAGUCGAACGGAAAGGCCCUGCUUUUGUGGGGUGCUCGAGUGGCGAACGGGUGAGUAACACGUGAGUAACCUGCCCUUGACUUUGGGAUAACUUCAGGAAACUGGGGCUAAUACCGGAUAGGAGCUCCUGCUGCAUGGUGGGGGUUGGAAAGUUUCGGCGGUUGGGGAUGGACUCGCGGCUUAUCAGCUUGUUGGUGGGGUAGUGGCUUACCAAGGCUUUGACGGGUAGCCGGCCUGGGAGGGUGACCGGCCACAUCAGGACUGAGAUACGGCCCAGACUCCUACGGGAGGCAGCAGUGGGGAAUAUUGCACAAUGGGCGGAAGCCUGAUGCGGCAACGCCGCGUGCGGGAUGACGGCCUUCGGGUUGUAAACCGCUUUCGCCUGUGACGAAGCGUGAGUGACGGUAAUGGGUAAAGAAGCACCGGCUAACUACGUG